AUUGAACGCUGGCGGCAUGCCUUACACAUGCAAGUCGAACGGCAGCGGGGGCUUCGGUCCGCCGGCGAGUGGCGAACGGGUGAGUAAUGUAUCGGAACGUACCUUUCAGUGGGGGAUAACGUAGCGAAAGUUACGCUAAUACCGCAUAUUCUCUGAGGAGGAAAGCAGGGGACCUUCGGGCCUUGUGCUGAUGGAGCGGCCGAUAUCAGAUUAGCUAGUUGGUGAGGUAAAGGCUCAACAAGGCGACGAUCUGUAGCGGGUCUGAGAGGAUGAUCCGCCACACUGGGACUGAGACACGGCCCAGACUCCUACGGGAGGCAGCAGUGGGGAAUUUUGGACAAUGGGCGCAAGCCUGAUCCAGCCAUGCCGCGUGAGUGAAGGAGGCCUUCGGGUUGUAAAGCUCUUUCGGACGGGAAGAAAUUGGUGGGGCUAAUAUCCCCAUCGGAUGACGGUACCGUAAUAAGAAGCACCGGCUAACUACGUGCCAGCCGCCGCGGUAAAAC
rnacentral:rRNA from 1 species